rnacentral:rRNA from 1 species
UACGAAGGGGGCUAGCGUUGUUCGGAAUCACUGGGCGUAAAGCGCACGUAGGCGGAUCUUUAAGUCAGGGGUGAAAUCCCGAGGCUCAACCUCGGAACUGCCUUUGAUACUGGGUAUCUUGAGUAUGGAAGAGGUAAGUGGAAUUGCGAGUGUAGAGGUGAAAUUCGUAGAUAUUCGCAGGAACACCAGUGGCGAAGGCGGCUUACUGGUCCAUAACUGACGCUGAGGUGCGAAAGCGUGGGGAGCAAACAGG